AAUAAAAAUUGAAGAGAAUAUUUUAAACAAAAAUAUCAUUAUUUAUUUCAAUAGUUUUUCUGAAGGAUUCCUUCCUGCAGUAUAUAAACUUCUAUUCAGUCUCUGAUACUCUGCUACAUGAAGAUUCAAAGUACCUCACUCUAUAUCUACUCAUACACUCAAAGAAUUCACAAGUGAAAAAAGACGAAGAAGAAGUAGAAGCCGGAGGCUGGAAUCUGUAAAUCUGUCAUUGCAACCAUAUCUAUGGUACGAACUCACACUGGCGUCGCGACGCUCGCCAGGAUAAGAUCGCUAAAGAAUCUACACACUUUCGUUCUUUACAUCAGUGUGGCUAUAUACCAUUAAUACAAUUCCGGUGUUUCUCGAAUUCAUCUCGUCUCGUUAUAUUUCAUGGGCCGGAACCAAAUGAUUGCUGCAACCUAAGAACUCGAUGACAACCUUUACCAGCAUUUGCAAGCUUUACUACUAAUUUUCAAGAUCAUACAAUUCUAUAUUCAAGUUGAAAAAUAAAUAACAAAUCAACUUAUGGAAAAUGAAUAUUUGUCAUUUUGGAGUUAUAUUUCAUUAGCACUAAUUUGUAUGUAUUUUUGACCAACAUUUUAAAGACAGAUGUCUGUAAAAGAAGAAAGUGAAAUUUUUGAACAUAAUGUUGAUGCCUUUGUAGGGAAGAAAAAGAGUGAAAACGAUCAUUUAAUACUAUACCCGGAACUCAGUGCGCAUCCUUUGAUUUUUUACAAUUGCCAUUUUAUUUAUUUGCCGUUAAAUGUUACUACUAACAUAAGAAUAAUAUAUAUUCUAAGACCUAAGUGAAGUAUUUAGUCUCGUGGUAGUAAGUUAGGUCAGCAUAUAUUUUGGCAAGAUGAAAGAAAAUAUCGAGUAAAAGUAACGGGUUUUAUGACUAGACGGCGUCAUGCAACACUAAACUUCUUGGCAUCUCUAUGUGUAGUAAUAUUUGAAAUAUAUUGAGGUAAUAAUUAACAAAUUUACUACAAACAUUUUCGAAACUGAGAUUAAUUACUUAUUACAUUGAUGUAGCCAUCCUCUUGGACACUCAACAGUUGAGACACUAAUAUGUUUACAUAAACUUGUUUUUCACGCUCGCAUCAAUCACUGCCACUUCAUGUCAACUCGCACAACAUGUUUCCUCCAAUGCUUCAAGUUUUAUCCCGUUCUAUUCUAUGAGCUCUCAAAAAGUUCCGUCCGGUGACUGCAAUUCUAUAGUCUUCUUUCUUAUCUUAUUCUAUUUUUUUUUCAAGUGCUUCAAAUUUAUAUACAAUGUUUGA
rnacentral:lncRNA from 1 species